rnacentral:rRNA from 1 species
CGCUCUUUGCAAAAGAAUUUAUGUAUAAAGAGUUCUGCCUGCCCAGUGACGUAGUUAAACGGCCGCGGUAUUUUGACUGUGCGAAGGUAGCAUAAUCAUUUGCUUCUUAAAUAGAGGCUGGUAUGAAUGGCAAGACGGAGGUUAAGCUGUCUCUUUCUUAAAUCUUGAAUUUAAUAUUUUUGUGAAGAAGCAGAAAUUUAUUCGUAGGACGAGAAGACCCUAUCGAGCUUUAGUCAUAUUAUUUUAAAUUAGUAUUAUAUUUUCAAUAAGUCUAAUUAAGCAUAUUUGUAUGUUUCUAAUUCUAUCAAGAAGGAGGAGAUAAUUUGGAUAAGAGACUUUGAUUGGGGCAAUCAUGGAGAAAAUAAAUCCUCCAUUUAAAUAAAAAAAGAAAUUACAAUUUUAGUAGUAGGAUCCAUUGAAUAAUGAUAAAAGGAAUAAGUUACCGUAGGGAUAACAGCGUAAUUUUUUUGAAGAGUUCAUAUUGAUAAAAAAGUUUGCGACCUCGAUGUUGGAUCAAGAUUUCCUAGAGAUGCAGCAGUUUCUAAGGGUUGGUCUGUUCGACCAUUAAAAUCUU